UCAGAGGAACCUGUUCUGUAAUCGAUAAUCCACGAUGGACCUUACUUAAAUUUGUAAUCAGUUUAUAUACCGUCGUUAUUAGAAUAUUUUAUGAGAAUGUUAAUUUUCAAGAUUUUUUAUUAAAAAAUAUAUCAGAUCAAGGUGUAGCUUAUAUUUAAGUAGAAAUGGGUUACAAUAAAAUUAUUUAUACGAAUAUAAAUUUGAAAUAUUUAUUGAAGGUGGAUUUGAUAGUAAAAUUAUAAAGAUUAAUAAUUUGAUUUUAGCUCUAAAAUAUGCACACAUCGCCCGUCACUCUUACUAUUAAGGUAAGAUAAGUCGUAACAUAGUAGAUGUACUGGAAAGUGUACCUAGAAUGCAAUUUAAAGCUUAUUCAGUAAAGUAUUUCAUUUACAUUGAAAAGAUUUUUGUGCAAAUCAAUAUAAAUUGAUUAGAUUUUAUUUAUUAAUUUUCACUUUUUUUAAAAUUAAAUUAUUAAAAAUAAUUAUAAAAUGAAUUUGUUUUAGUAUUUAAUAAAGAAAAAAUAAUAUUAAUUAUAGUUAAAUAGUA
rnacentral:rRNA from 1 species